rnacentral:misc_RNA from 1 species
ACAAAAUAAUAAAAUGAAGCAGAGUUCUUUAUAUCUAAAAACGUUCAUAUCAACAGACAACUCUAGCAUGUGUUGCUAUAUGGUAUGAAAGGCAAAAAAAAAACUAGUAUCAACACUGGAAGCCAUUGUAUACAAAUACAUUAUCAUUCAUGACAACAAUAGGCACAUUUCAGAUAUCCGGACGCUUCACCUAUCCGGACGAUUGGACUUGGGAACGAAAACGUCCGGAUAACUGAGGCUCCACUGUAGUUAUGAAAGCAGGAGUACAUGACUGAACAUUCUGCUCCUUUUGUAAUCUGUUGUCUUAACUAUUCUGUUGUGUGUUAACUAAGUACUGCAUAACAAGUUCAAUAAACUACCAAUAAAUGUUGUCAUAUCAUAUAAAGUUUAUAUAAUUGAUCUGAUAUCCAUUAAAGUUGUCAAAUAAUAUAGGAAUGUUUUGAAAGGUUGCAGACAUGCAUGUAGUUUUUCUCAGAUUCUUUAACCAGUAUAUGGAUACCAUAGAUAUUUUUUGUUAGUGUAUACAUGUACAAGAUUUUUUUUAAUUUCUUAUACAUUGUAUUUGUUUUUGGUGUACAUUUCUUUUUUGUUAUUUUACGUUGUUGAGGAUGUCAACAUACAAAUGAUUCCCUUUUAUGUUCUGUCCCAUGCAAAAAUAAAAUUGGGAAAUUUU